rnacentral:rRNA from 1 species
CCUACGGGAGGCAGCAGUGAGGAAUAUUGCUCAAUGGACGCAAGUCUGAACCAGCCAUGCCGCGUGCAGGAAGACGGCUCUAUGAGUUGUAAACUGCUUUUGUACGAGGGUAAACGCAGAUACGUAUUUCUGUCUGAAUUUAUCGUACGUGUAAGGAACGGCUAACUCCGUGCCAGCAGCCGCGGUAAUACGGAGGAUUCAAGCGUUAUCCGGAUUUAUUGGGUUUAAAGGGUGCGUAGGCGGUCGGUUAAGUUAGAGGUGAAAGCCCGAGGCUCAACUUCGGAAUUGCCUUUGAUACUGUUAGGCUAGAGAGUAGUUGAGGUAGGUGGAAUGUAUGGUGUAGGGGUGAAAUGCUUAGAGAUCAUACAGAACACCGAUUGCGAAGGCAGCUUACCGAGAUACUUCUGACGUUGAGGCACGAAAGCGUGGGGAGCAAACAGGAUUAGAUACCCUUGUAGUC